UACGUAGGGUGCAAGCGUUAAUCGGAAUUACUGGGCGUAAAGCGUGCGCAGGCGGUUUUGUAAGUCUGUCGUGAAAGCCCCGGGCUUAACCUGGGAAUGGCAUUUGGGACUGCAAGGCUGGAGUGCGGCAGAGGAGACUGGAAUUCCUGGUGUAGCGGUGAAAUGCGCAGAUAUCAGGAGGAACACCGGUGGCGAAGGCGGAUCUCUGGGCCAUUACUGACGCUGAGGAGCGAAAGCUAGGGGAGCAAACAGG
rnacentral:rRNA from 1 species